rnacentral:misc_RNA from 1 species
CUGCGAGCCGAAGAAGUUCGGUGGGCGCGGCGCACGAUCUCGCUUCCAGAAGUCCUACCGUUAGGGUGUCGCUCCGGCGGGCGGUGUCAUUUGAGGUCAUCUCUUCUCAUAAAUUUGGCUUGUUUGGCGUUGCUUUAUCGAAUGCUUUAAGAACUCGUUUACUCUUUAUCUCGGAUGUGUGAGGUGUUUUGAGGUUGAAAUAUCGGAUAUCAGUUCAGUGAUAAUCUUUAUUAG